rnacentral:misc_RNA from 1 species
GAAAUGCGAUAAGUAAUGUGAAUUGCAGAAUUCAGUGAAUCAUCGAAUCUUUGAACGCACCUUGCGCUCCUUGGUAUUCCUUGGAGCAUGCCUGUUUGAGUAUCAUGAAAUCUUCAAAGUAAAUCUUUUGUUAACUCAAUUGGUUUCUACUUUGGUAUUGGAGGUCUUUGCAGCUUCACACCUGCUCCGCUUUGUUCAUUAGCUGGAUCUCAGUGUUAUGCUUGGUUCCACUCGGCGUGAUAAGUGAUCUAUCGCUGAGGACACUGUAAAAGGUGGCCAAGGUAAAUGCAGAUGAACCGCUUCUAAUAGUCCAUUGACUUGGACAAUACUUUUAUGAUCUGAUCUCAAAUCAGGUAGGACUACCCGCUGAACUUAAGC